GGCCAUAUCACGUUGAAACACCGGUUGUUAUCCGAUCACCGAAGUUAAGCAACGUCGAGCCUGGUCAGUAGCUAGAUGGUUGACCGUGUGUAAGC